rnacentral:lncRNA from 1 species
AUGUCAGUCCUGGUUCCAGGGUGUCGAUCCCAGCUGUGCCCACCCAGUCCAAGGUCCAAGUGGGCUCAGUCCCCCACGGGCAAAGCCUGUCCUCGCCCUGAGGGCCCCCCCUCCACUCCCCACACCCCAGGCACAAGGAAAACUUAUUUAAAGGAACCAGGAGGACACCGAAGUCAAGGCUGUGAGGGCCCUGUGGUGUUAUCUGUCCUCGUCCUUCAGCGGGAACACACGGCUUGCUCAACUAGUGCUUCCCCCAGCACCCAGGCUCAUCUCAAAUGUGUGUCCUACCCCCUGAGGUUCUUCCAAAUGGUAGCCAGGCCUCUCUCCAGAACCCCAUGGUGGCUGAACCCCAGAAACCAGGUGGCUGCAGCUUGGAGUGGCAGAGGGACACAGAGCAGCACUGCCCUGGGCCAUGUGGUGGGCAGUACCCAUGUGGUGCCUUGCAGACACCCAAGGGAAGCUGCAGCUGUCCUGAGCACCACAACUUGUUCUGGAACUGAAUGAAGGCCUUAGAAAGUCCCUGCCUAACCCCAUCCACAGGAAAGAUGGGUUUGUGUGUCAGACAAGUUUCCUGGAGCUGGACAUUAAUGUAACCCAUAGCAAGCUGUUCUAUGUGCAGAAGGUGCUGGAAGAGAAAAUGAGAGAUUUCAUGAGAUCUGAGGAAUAAGAACAGUCCUUAAAUUCAAUUCUCCUUGGUGCACUUGCAUAUAACAGUCUCUUGACACUUGUGUCUUCUUUUAAAAUACUAAUAGCCUUCCUCUGGAUAGUUCUUCAUGAUCAGCAAGUAAAAAGGAUUAGGAAAGAAAAACAGUAUUUCUGUUGAUUUUUUAAAGAGCGGCUCUCUGCUACGUGGCAACUGCAAAUGGCACGAGGGAGUUCUGUGUUUGUUGUCUCUCCAGUCUCCAGAGAACAUAUAUUUUGUUUACAAGGCAAACCAUUUAUAAAUGCCAAAUCCUGCAAAUUCUAGCUGGAAUGAGACCAGGAAAUAGCUCUACUGCAGAGUUUACCACGGGCUGGUUCUGUCCGAGACUGCCCAUUCUGCAGGAAUACCCUUUGCUCAUAUGCACAUAACCAUGUCCGUACAAGGUCCAGGACUUGGCACCAUGUACCCCACGCUGCACCCUGCGUGUUCCCAGC